GACUUCAACUGAAAAAGUCAUCAACAACAAAGUUGUAUAAUCCAUCUGUAUCUACAAUUUUUAUUUUGGUCAUUUCUUCAUCUGACAAAGUGAUAGUAACAUUGUUUACAAAUUUUACAUAUCUCUUAUACUGUUUUAUAAUCUAUAAGAGAUAUAUGUAAAUUUUGUGAACAAUGUUACUAUUACUUUAUCGGAUGAAGAAAUGACCAAAAUAAAAGUUAUAGAUAUUAAUGAGUUAUACAACUUUAUUGUUGAUGAAUUUUUCAGUUGAAAUC
rnacentral:pre_miRNA from 1 species